UCUUAACUGGGCGUUAAGUUGCAGGGUAUAGACCCGAAACCCGGUGAUCUAGCCAUGGGCAGGUUGAAGGUUGGGUAACACUAACUGGAGGACCGAACCGACUAAUGUUGAAAAAUUAGCGGAUGACUUGUGGCUGGGGGUGAAAGGCCAAUCAAACCGGGAGAUAGCUGGUUCUCCCCGAAAGCUAUUUAGGUAGCGCCUCGUGAAUUCAUCUCCGGGGGUAGAGCACUGUUUCGGCAAGGGGGUCAUCCCGACUUACCAACCCGAUGCAAACUGCGAAUACCGGAGAAUGUUAUCACGGGAGACACACGGCGGGUGCUAACGUCCGUCGUGAAGAGGGAAACAACCCAGACCGCCAGCUAAGGUCCCAAAGUCAUGGUUAAGUGGGAAACGAUGUGGGAAGGCCCAGACAGCCAGGAUGUUGGCUUAGAAGCAGCCAUCAUUUAAAGAAAGCGUAAUAGCUCACUGGUCGAGUCGGCCUGCGCGGAAGAUGUAACGGGGCUAAACCAUGCACCGAAGCUGCGGCAGCGACGCUUAUGCGUUGUUGGGUAGGGGAGCGUUCUGUAAGCCUGUGAAGGUGUGCUGUGAGGCAUGCUGGAGGUAUCAGAAGUGCGAAUGCUGACAUAAGUAACGAUAAAGCGGGUGAAAAGCCCGCUCGCCGGAAGACCAAGGGUUCCUGUCCAACGUUAAUCGGGGCAGGGUGAGUCGACCCCUAAGGCGAGGCCGAAAGGCGUAGUCGAUGGGAAACAGGUUAAUAUUCCUGUACUUGGUGUUACUGCGAAGGGGGGACGGAGAAGGCUAUGUUGGCCGGGCGACGGUUGUCCCGGUUUAAGCGUGUAGGCUGGUUUUCCAGGCAAAUCCGGAAAAUCAAGGCUGAGGCGUGAUGACGAGGCACUACGGUGCUGAAGCAACAAAUGCCCUGCUUCCAGGAAAAGCCUCUAAGCAUCAGGUAACAUCAAAUCGUACCCCAAACCGACACAGGUGGUCAGGUAGAGAAUACCAAGGCGCUUGAGAGAACUCGGGUGAAGGAACUAGGCAAAAUGGUGCCGUAACUUCGGGAGAA
rnacentral:rRNA from 1 species